GAUGAACGCUGGCGGUAUGCUUAACACAUGCAAGUCGAACGGACUCUUCGGAGUUAGUGGCGGACGGGUGAGUAACGCGUGAGAAUCUGGCUUUGGGUUCGGGACAACCACUGGAAACGGUGGCUAAUACCGGAUGUGCCGAGAGGUAAAAGAGAAAUUGCCUGAAGAUGAGCUCGCGUCUGAUUAGCUAGUUGGUGAGGUAAGGGCUCACCAAGGCAGCGAUCAGUAGCUGGUCUGAGAGGAUGACCAGCCACACUGGGACUGAGACACGGCCCAGACUCCUACGGGAGGCAGCAGUGGGGAAUUUUCCGCAAUGGGCGAAAGCCUGACGGAGAAAUACCGCGUGAGGGAAGAAGGCUCUUGGGUUGUAAACCUCUUUUCUUAGGGAAGAACAAAAUGACGGUACCUAAGGAAUCAGCAUCGGCUAACUCCGUG
rnacentral:rRNA from 1 species